rnacentral:rRNA from 1 species
UACGGAGGGUGCAAGCAUUAAUCGGAUUUAUUGGGCGUAAAGGGCGCGUAGGCGGAGAUAAAAGUCAGAUGUGAAAUCCCGAGGCUCAACCUCGGAACUGCAUUUGAAACUCUAUCCCUAGAGGGUAGGCGGGGAAAACGGAAUUCCACAAGUAGCGGUGAAAUGCGUAGAUAUGUGGAAGAACACCGGUGGCGAAGGCGGUUUUCUAGCUUAUUCCUGACGCUAAAGCGCGAAAGCAAGGGGAUCAAACAGG